UACAGAGGUGGCGAGCGUUGUUCGGAAUUACUGGGCGUAAAGGGCGCGUAGGCGGCCAUCUAAGUCAGACGUGAAAUCCCCCGGCUUAACCUGGGAACUGCGUCUGAUACUGGCGAUCUUGAGUCUGGGAGAGGUGAGUGGAACUCCGAGUGUAGAGGUGAAAUUCGUAGAUAUUCGGAAGAACACCAGUGGCGAAGGCGGCUCACUGGCCCGGUACUGACGCUGAGGUGCGAAAGCGUGGGGAGCAAACAGG
rnacentral:rRNA from 1 species